rnacentral:tmRNA from 1 species
GGGGGCGACUUGGUUUCGACGUGGGUUGCAAAACCCAAGGUGCAUGCCGAGGAUGCAGAUGACCUCGUAAAUCCUGUCUGCAACAACAUAGUUGCCAACGACGACAACUACGCCCUGGCUGCUUAAGGCGGCCAGCCUCUGACCGAACCCUGUCUGCGGGGGUCGGAGUCCUUCGGGACGCCUCAGGGGUCGACUGUACACAGACUCGUGGCAAGGUUUGCCCGGAACCAAGCCGCUAAAACCUGACGGGCUCGCCGCUGAACGAUCCUGCCGGUCGGAACGCCAGCGGUUAACUUGAAGAUCUGGCUAAGCAUGUAGAUCCAAGGGCGGAGAGCUUGCGGACGCGGGUUCGAUUCCCGCCGCCUCCACCA